rnacentral:lncRNA from 1 species
ACCAAUUAUAUUAUAAAUGUGUAUACUAAAUCGGGAAUAUCAAGUAAAACAAAGAGUUAACAUAUACAAGAAGAUAGUGACUCAGUCACAAAAGGUUCAAAUAAAAGUAUUUAUUUUUCGUGCAACGUUCAUUACAGAAAUUAUUUCACGUUCAACGUGAAAUUAUGUCUUAUUUCACGUUUUUUUCGUGCAAGCACCCCCCUUUACCACCCUCUUAUAUUGCUCUGAAUACUCUUUUGAUCAUAAACAGUUUCUGUCCAACUUUCGUUUUUCGGAGAGUCAUUCAAAAAGACUUUAUCCACAUUCGGCAACCUAAAUAUUGACGCCGCUUUGUCUCGCUUUUGGGACAUAAAUCACGGGCUCGACAAAAACACAAACAGC